rnacentral:rRNA from 1 species
AGAGUUUGAUCCUGGCUCAGAACGAACGCUGGCGGCGUGCUUAACACAUGCAAGUCGCGUGCGCAGUUUCCGUAGCAAUACAGGGAAUGGGCGCGUGGCGAACGGGUGCGUAACACGUGGAUAACCUUCCUUCAGGUGGGGAAUAACCCAGUGAAAAUUGGGCUAAUACCGCAUAACAAGACGAGGGCACAUGCCCAUGUCUUCAAAGGCGCAAGUCGCCAGAAGAGGGAUCCGCGGCCGAUUAGCUUGUUGGCGAGGUAAUGGCUCACCAAGGCAUUGAUCGGUAGCCGGACUGAGAGGUUGGCCGGCCACACUGGAACUGAGACACGGUCCAGACUCCUACGGGAGGCAGCAGUGGGGAAUCUUGCGCAAUGGACGAAAGUCUGACGCAGCAACGCCGCGUGGGGGAUGAAGCUUCUCGGAGUGUAAACCCCUUUCGACCCGGACGAAUGCCCGCAAGGGUUUGACGGUACGGGUAUAAGAAGCCCCGGCUAACUACGUGCCAGCAGCCGCGGUAAGACGUAGGGGGCCAGCGUUGUUCGGAAUUACUGGGUGUAAAGGGUUCGUAGGCGGUGUGGCAAGUUGGGAGUGAAAUCUCUGGGCUCAACCCAGAGGCUGCUUCCAAAACUGCUGUGCUUGAGUGUGGGAGAGGCGCGUGGAAUUGCAGGUGUAGCGGUGAAAUGCGUAGAUAUCUGCAGGAACACCCGUGGCGAAAGCGGCGCGCUGGACCACUACUGACGCUGAGGAACGAAAGCUAGGGGAGCAAACAGGAUUAGAUACCCUGGUAGUCCUAGCCCUAAACGAUCAGGACUUGGGGUGCCACCCGUUCGGGUGUCGUCCCGGAGCUAACGCGUUAAGUCCUGCACCUGGGGAGUACGGUCGCAAGACUGAAACUCAAAGGAAUUGACGGC